GUCUAUGGCCAUGCUACUGAACAAGUCCUAUCCUGUCUCAUCUUGGAAGCUAAGCAGGGUCGGGUCUGGUUAGUACUUGGAUGGGAGACCACCUAGGAAGACCAGGUGCUGUAGGGG
rnacentral:rRNA from 1 species